AGGACGAACGCUGGCGGCGUGCUUAACACAUGCAAGUCGAGCGGAAAGGCCCUUCGGGGUACUCGAGCGGCGAACGGGUGAGUAACACGUGAGCAACCUGCCCUUGGCUCUGGGAUAGCCUCCGGAAACGGGGAUUAAUACCGGACAUUCACUUUCUCCUGCAUGGGGGUUGGUGGAAAGUUUUUCGGCCAGGGAGGGGCUCGCGGCCUAUCAGCUUGUUGGCGGGGUAACGGCCCACCAAGGCGACGACGGGUAGCCGGCCUGAGAGGGCGAUCGGCCACACUGGGACUGAGACACGGCCCAGACUCCUACGGGAGGCAGCAGUGGGGAAUAUUGCACAAUGGGCGCAAGCCUGAUGCAGCGACGCCGCGUGGGGGAUGAAGGCCUUCGGGUUGUAAACCCUUUCACCAGGAGCGAAUUCAGACGGUACCUGGGAAGAAGCGCCGGCUAACUACGUGCCAGCAGCCGC
rnacentral:rRNA from 1 species